GUCUACCACCAUGCCACGCUGAACGAGCCUGAUCCUGUCUCAUCUCGGAAGCUAAGCAGGGUCGGGCCUAGUUAGUAUUUGGAUGGGAGACCACCUAGGAAGACCAGAUGCUGUAGGUG
rnacentral:rRNA from 1 species